GAUGAGGAACGUAGCGAAAUGCGAUACUUGGUGUGAAUUGCAGAAUCCCGUGAACCAUCGAGUCUUUGAACGCAAGUUGCGCCCGAAGCCAUUAGGCCGAGGGCACGCCUGCCUGGGCGUCACACGUCGUUGCCCCCCCAUCUACUCCUUCGGGAUUGCGGGGGGCGGAUGAUGGCCUCCCGUGCGCCUCGUCGCGCGGUUGGCAUAAAUGCCAAGUCCUCGGCGACGCACGCCACGACAAUCGGUGGUUGCGAAACCUCGGUUGCCCGUCGUGUGCGGUCGUCGCGCAUCGAGGGCUCGAAAAAAUUGCCGGGCUCCGGCUCGGCUUUCAACGCGACCCCAGGUCAGGCGGGGUUACCCGCUGAAUUUAAGCAUAUCAAUAAGCGGAGGA
rnacentral:misc_RNA from 1 species